rnacentral:rRNA from 1 species
GACGAACGCUGGCGGCGUGCCUAAUACAUGCAAGUCGAGCGAAUCUUGAGGUGCUUGCACCUCUUGGUUAGCGGCGGACGGGUGAGUAACACGUGGGCAACCUGCCUGUAAGACUGGGAUAACUUCGGGAAACCGGAGCUAAUACCGGAUAAUCCUUUUCCUCUCAUGAGGAAAAGCUGAAAGUCGGUUUCGGCUGACACUUACAGAUGGGCCCGCGGCGCACUAGCUAGUUGGUGAGGUAACGGCUCACCAAGGCGACGAUGCGUAGCCGACCGGGGAGGGUGAUCGGCCACACUGGGACUGAGACACGGCCCAGACUCCUACGGGAGGCAGCAGUAGGGAAUCUUCCGCAAUGGACGAAAGUCUGACGGAGCAACGCCGCGUGAGCGAUGAAGGCCUUCGGGUCGUAAAGCUCUGUUGUUAGGGAAGAACAAGUAUCGGAGUAACUGCCGGUACCUUGACGGUGCCUAACCAGAAAGCCACGGCUAACUACGUGCCAGCCGCCGCGGUAACAC